AUUGAACGCUGGCGGCAGGCCUAACACAUGCAAGUCGAACGAGUGGCGGACGGGUGGGCAAUGUCUGGGCAACUGCCUGAGGGAGGGGGAUAACUACUGGAAACGGUAGCUACUACCGCAUACCUGCAGAUGUGCCCAGAUGGGAUUAGCUUGUUGGUGGGGUAAAGGCUCACCAAGGCGACGAUCCCUAACUGGUCUGAGAGGAUGACCAGCCACACUGGAACUGAGACACGGUCCAGACUCCUACGGGAGGCAGCAGUGGGGAAUAUUGCACAAUGGGCGCAAGCCUGAUGCAGCCAUGCCGCGUGUAUGAAGAAGGCCUUCGGGUUGUAAAGUACUUUCAGCGGGGAGGCGUUACCCGCAGAAGAAGCACCGGCUAACUCCGUGCCAGCAGCCGCGGUAAUAC
rnacentral:rRNA from 1 species